CCUGCCUGUCCCUUGGACACACAGCACCUUUUUAUUGUCAGAUAUUCUCACCCUGGUACCAACUGGAAAGAGAUUGCACGCCAUUUGGGCAGCAUACCAGACAGGAGGAAUUACCAAGGACCUUCCAACCACAUGGCCAUCCCUUCCCUUCACCUCCAUUGUCUCCCAGGUCCGGAUCCAUCAAAUGCCUUCCUUGAUGUUCAUGUUGGUCCUAUCCUCUGUGAUGUGAAGGAAUGGAAGGUAUGGACAAAAUGACUCAAAAGCAUUUGUGCGGACAGGAGAGAUGGCCUCACUGUAAAGAGUAUUGGCUCCACGGGUAUGAGAACCAGAAUCAGAUCUCAUCACCAUCACAAAGCCAGUCACAGACCCAUGCAAGCCUGGAAUCCUGGCACUGAGGCAGGGACAGGAGGAACCCUGGGACUGGGAUGUGCUGGUGUGAGUCUAGCCAAAGAAUGGGAUUUCCCCAGGCUCUGCACAGAGGCCUUGACUGAAAGGGAUAAGGCAGACAGCAUUAGAAGAAGUCUCUAAUGCUCUCCUCUGGCCUCUUUGUGAGCACACAGGUACAUGGAUAUGCAUACAGGUGUGCUCAUACACUCCUACCCUCCACACACUUGCAAAGUUUCUCUUCUAAACAUUUAUAGUGUUCUCAUUCUAAUUCCAAAGUCCAUUACCUGCAGAUGAAGAAUUUAAUAAUCAGAUGCGUUAGAUGUACUUUCCAAGUUCUCACUCCAGCCAACACUAGAAUGGGGUUUAAUUACGGCCUCAUACUCCAGAGUUAAUGCUGGUUUCAGUACAUCGCAGCACAAGUGUCUGAACAAACAUGCAUUCACAUGAUUCAAGUCUCUAUCAAAUAUGUUUUCUAUUAAAUAUUUGAAGUGUAUCUUGUCUAUCUGGAAUCUUCUAUUGUUUGGGGAU
rnacentral:lncRNA from 1 species